CCUGGUUGAUCCUGCCAGUAGCAUAUGCUUGUCUCAAAGAUUAAGCCAUGCACGUGUAAGUACACACGGCCGGUACAGUGAAACUGCAAAUGGCUCAUUAAAUCAGUUAUGGUUCCUUUGAUUGCCCCAUCUGUUACUUGGAUAACUGUGGUAAUUCUAAAGCUAAUACAUGUCGACGAGCGCGGACCUCUCAGGAAUGCGUGCAUUUAUCAGACCAAGACAAAUUUGGGCUCGCCCAGCCGCUUUGGUGACUCUAGAUAACCUCGGGCCGAUCGCACGUCCCGUGACGGCAACGAUGCAUUUGGAUGUCUGCCCUAUCAACUUUCAAUGGUACUUUCUGUGCCUACCAUGGUGACCACGGGUAAUGGGGAAUCAGGGUUUGAUUCCGGAAAGGGAGCCUGAGAAACACCUACCACAUCCAAGGAAGGCAGCAGGCGCGCAAAUUACCCACUCCGGACUCCGGGAGGUAGUGACGGAAAAUAACAAUACAGGACUCUUUCGAGGCACUGGAAUGAGUACACUUUAAAUCCUUUAACGAGUACCCAUUGGAGGGCAAGACUUUUGCCAGCAGUCACCGUCAUUCCAACUCCAAUAGCGUAUAUUAAAGUUGCUGCAGUUAAAAGCUUGUAGUUGGAUCUUGAGAUCGAGCUGGCGGUUUGUUGUGAUGCAAGCUACCGCCUGUCCCAGCCCCUGCCUCUCGGCUCCCCCUGAUGCUCUUGACUGAUUGUCCUGGGGGUCCAAAGCGUUUACUUUGAAAAAAGUAGUGUUCAAAGCAGGCCGGUCGCCUGAAUACUUCAGCUAAGAAUAAUGGAAUAGGACUCUGUUUCUAUUUUGUUGGUUUUCGGAACUUGGGCCAUUAUUAGGAGGGACGACCGGGGGCAUUCGUAUUGGGCCGCUAGAGGUGAAAUUCUUGGACCGGCGCAAGACGAACCAUAGGUGAAAGCAUUAGCCAAGAAUGUCUUCAUUAAUCAAGAACGAAAGUCUGAGGUUCGAAGAUGAUCCGAUACCGUCAUAGUUCUAACCAUAAAGGAUGCCGACUAGAGAUCUGGCAGCGUUAUUCCCAUAACCCGCCAAGCAGCUUCCAGGAAACCAAACUCUUUGGGUUCCGGCGGAGUAUGGCUGCAAAGCUGAAACUUAAAGGAAUUGACGGAAGGGCACCACCAGGAGUGGAGCCUGUGGCUUAAUUUGACUCCACACGGGAAACCUCACCAGGACACGGAAAGGAUUGACAGAUUGAUGGCUCUUUCUCGAUUCUGUUGGUGGUGGUACAUGGCCGUUCUUAGUUGGUGAAGCAAUUUGUCUGGUAAUGUCCGAUAACGAACAAGAUUCCUCCAUGUUAACUAGUUAUGCAAUCCCUCCCAAAACCCAAGGGGUCAGCGUUUAACUUCUUAGAGGGACAAGUGGUCACACGAGAUCGAACAAUAACAAGUCUGUGAUGCCCUUAGAAGUACAGGGCUGCACACGCGCUACACUGAACAGAUCAGCGUGUGUCUACCAUUCAUCGACAGCUGCGGCUAACCCCCUGAACCCUGUUCGUGAUAGGGAUUGGGGAUUGCAAUUAUUUCCCAUGAGCAAAGAAUUCCCAGUAAGUGCGGGUCAUAAGCUUGCGUUGAUUAAGUCCCUGCCCUUUGUACAUACUGCCCGUCGCUACUACCGAUUGGAUGGUUUAGUGAGAUCCUCGGAUCGGCCCCGCCGGGGUCGGCAAUGGCCCUGGCGGAGCGGCGAGAAGACGAUCAAACUUGACUAUCUAGAGGAAGUAAAAGUCAUACGGUUUGGGUUAACCUGCCGGGG
rnacentral:rRNA from 1 species